UAGGCAGCGACGAUUGCGUUGA
rnacentral:siRNA from 1 species